rnacentral:rRNA from 1 species
AUUGAACGCUGGCGGCAGGCCUAACACAUGCAAGUCGAGCGGAUGCAGCGAGCUUGCUCCUGCAUUCAUCGGCGGCCGGUUGAGUCAUGCCUAUGAAUCUGCCUGGUCUUGCCGGAUAACGUCCGGAUACGGGCUCUAAUACUGCAUCCGUCCUUUUGUCGCAAUUGGGUGAUCUUCCGAUCUCACGCUAUCAUAUUAGCCUAGGUCCGAUCAGCUAGUUGGGGGGGUAACGGCCUACCAAGGCGACGAUCCGUAACUGGUCUGAGAGGAUGAUCAGUCACACUGGAACUGAGACACGGUACAGACUCCUACAGGAGGCAGCAGUGGGGAAUAUUAGACGAUGGGCGAAAGCCUGAUCCAGGCAUGCCGCGUGUGUGAAGAGGGUCUACGGAUUGUAAAGCACUGUAAGUUGGGAGGAAGGGAAGUAAGUUAAUACCUGACUGUUUUGACGUUACCAACAGAAUAAGCACCGGCUAACUUCGUG